rnacentral:rRNA from 1 species
CACCAGCGCCACAAGUGGGGAUCGAUGUUACUUGGCCUAAAGCGUCCGUAGCUGGUUGUGUAAAUCCCCUGUGAAAUUGUCUCGCUUAACGUGACAGCGGGCAGGGGACACUGCACGACUUGGGACCGGGAGGAGUCAGAAGUAUGCCGAGGGGAGCGGUAAAAUGCUAUAAUCCCCGGUAGACUACCUGUGGCGAAGGCGUCUGACUAGUACGGAUCCGACAGUGAGGGACGAAAGCUAGGGGAGCGAACCG